UAUUUUGAUUGAAAAAUUUCA
rnacentral:piRNA from 1 species